AAUUAAUAUAUUCAAUGUGGUGCAGUAUUCUAGUCAGGGAAAUGCUUUUUGAAGGCGGGGCUAAAAAUCCGCUAAAGGGCACAUCGAUGAAGUUCCUGGUGCUGGCCUUAGAAUGCCCAGUCUUGGGCUUGUGCUGGGAGUUAAAAAAGCUGGGGCACUCGCAAUGGCAUGCGACAAAUGACCCUACUUUUGUGGAGGCCAAUUAUUGUAUAUUGAGAGAGAUAUUCAAUAUACGAAAUUGGGGUAAACCUGCAAUGUGGUGUAAAAGCUAUGUGCAGUGUAGCCUGCCUUGAGUGGUAUGGGGAGAGGAGAUAAACAAGUCAAAAAUUUUAGGCCUAAGUUUUUGUACUAUUGAACUCUGAAACCUAUGUUGCAAAAGAGGCUAAGAAAGCAUCUAACUGUUGAGGAAAACUCCUAGACUGUUUUGGUAAAAUGAGGAUUGCAGUGCGGACUUAGUGGCAAUUCAGUCCUGAAAGUGGCAACACUUCAGCUCGGAUAUUAAAGGGAAACCGCUAUAUGGCGACGUAUAGUUAUUCGUGGGGAAAGCCUACUGAACCUAUGCCGUAAGAUUUACUUAUUUUGUUACCACAUUGAUGUUAUGUUUU
rnacentral:sRNA from 21 species